UUGAUUGUGGAUCUUGUCCACAAAGGAUCCUUGAUAUUCACUAACCCAAAUAAUAGAAUUUUUCCUAGUAUUUUCUCUUCUCAUGUGCAGGUUCAAGGCCCUAGAAUCCCAAAAGGAGAAGCCCAAGGAUGUUCCCUUUAGGCCCUUGGCCGAAAGUCCCAAUUUUGGAAUAAGUAAAGAAGAAGUGAGUCCAAAGGAAAACAUUGAGAUAUUCCCUUGUAAUGUGGAGAAUGAAGGUUUCCAUGAUGCAAAACCAAGUGAAUAACACACUUCCCAUGAUCUACAAGGUAGCAAAGCUAUUUCUACAUCCCUAGAAACUUGAAUUAUUGCGAUGAGGCUAGUAGUGGCCAAAGUGGUGUAGUUUCAGAUUUUCUUAGUGAAGAAGUGUAUGAAUCUUCCUUUUUUGAUACUAUUGGUGUUGUUAGGUUUAAUAAGGACCAAACUCUUGUUGUGAGUAAGCAAGCACUAGUUGAUCCUUUAGAUGACAAAAUCAAUUCUUUUCAUAAGAAUGAUUUGUGUCCAUCUAGUGCUAGCACUUAUAACUUGAAUAAAAGGUUCCAUUACCAAUUGAUAGGAGUAUUCACACACUAGUUGACCCUUGUGAAAACCAAGGUGAUUCUACGUUGGUAUGUGAGUUGCCAACAACUAGUGAGGAUGUGAAUGAUGAUCAACCUACUCAUAAAUGUAGUCCACUACUUGAGCAUAUGUCUGGUGUGUUUGAUAAGUCUCAAGUUAGUGAUAAAGUUGAUGGAUUUGAUCAUGGGAUUGGAGAUAAUUCUUGUAUCAUGUUGUAUGAUGAAAGCUAUAUUGAUGAUUUGCUCAAAGAAACUAAGAAAAGGCACAAUCGGGGGAAGGUGGCCUUGAAUUACUUGAAUAUUUAGGAAACCCUAAUUGUGAUUGCUCUUGUGAACAUGUUUUUGUGUAUGAUCCCUUUGCUGCUCAUGGUGAUUUAUAUCUAUGUGGGGAUUACUCUCUUAAAAUAGAAAGUGGUGCAUGCUUAGAAAUUCUAUCUAUUUCUUCUUUGUGUGUUUCCCCAUGUUGAGCAUCCUAGUGGUGAUGAACUUAAAACUAGUGAGUACUUGUAUAAGGGCACCAUAGUUGAUGUUGAGUUGUGUGACAACUUUCUCUACUCUCCAUUUUCCUUUGAUGAGGUGUAUGCUAUUGCAGAGAGUAUGUCUUUUAGAUUGGGCGAAACCUAUGAGGAAAAAAGUGUUGUGUAGAUCCAUGUCUAAGGCCACUCUUUACAUUUGACCCCGGUGCCAAACGUGGAUAUGAUGAUGCUGGCACACCCAACUUGUUGCUUGGUCUACAUGACAAGAAAAGUAUUAUCCUUGAAAACCCGAGGCCAAAUGUGUCAUUAUCAUCUUGGAACAGUGCUUCUAAAUGUGCAUCCUUGCUUGACACACUUGUGCUUGAAUUAAAUGAAUCCAAACUUGUGGAUGCCAAGUUUAUGUUUCACUUGAAAGAAGGAAGCCAUAUGUGUUUAAAUGACUUGAUUCCAACCUUAUGUUCUAAAACUAUAAAAUCAAUUGGCAUUCUUAUAGAUGUUAGCACCUUGGAUGAUGCCUUUACACUUGAUGCCUUCCUAUACUACCUCUUUUCUUAUGAUGAUAUCCCUGCUAGUAUUGGAUUUGUUUUAUGUAGGGGUAGGACAUUUGUUUGUUGGUCCACUUGGAGUUACAAUGUUAUAUGGCUUUUAUGGACCUUUGUAGUUGCCUUACCUCUUGAUACUUGCCUUAGCUGUGUCCUUUGUGAUUCUUGUGGUAGGUGUUUCAUGAUCAUAACAAAGGAUAGUUGGUUGUAUUUUAAAUGUGUACCUCCUUGGAGUGUUUCUUUGAACUUGUGUGUUGAAAACCAUGACAUUAACCUUGUUUAUAGAGACUUUGUGUAUGUCCUAGUUAUGUGUAGUGUCUUGGACGACUGUGAAUUGGUUCCCCUAGUAAAAGGGACGAUUAGUCUCGGUUUAUGCCCUUGGUUACUUCAACCCUUUGAUCCUGGUGAAUUCUUGAAGUAUGGGAGGGAUAGCCUCGAAUUAUGUCCAUUCACUCUUGAUGUUGAUCCUAUUUAUUUUCUUUGUGAUAUUUAUGCUAAGUCUUUCCUGUCACACACAAAGGACCCAUGGAUGUACGUCAAGUGUGAGCAACCUUGGCAUGUCUAUAUAACUUGUGGUACUAAUGCCAACCCUCCUCCCUUGAGGGUUGUGUGCUUAUUUUUCCCUCUCUUUGGUUUUGCAAGGUGCGAAUUUGAGGAUAAAUUUCUUUCAAGACGGAGAGGAUGAUACAAGCCUAAAGUGCAUAAGGAUUGCAAGGACUUCUCAAAGGACCAAGCUCAGAAUUUGCAAGACAUUUGAGACCCUUUUGGAAUCCUUCUCAAGCCGUGACCAAAAUGAAAGGGGAGAAGAAAAGCUUACACUCAAGAGGUGC
rnacentral:lncRNA from 1 species